rnacentral:rRNA from 1 species
GGCCUACCAUGGUGGUAACGGGUAACGGGGAAUUAGGGUUCGAUUCCGGAGAGGGAGCCUGAGAAACGGCUACCACAUCCAAGGAAGGCAGCAGGCGCGCAAAUUACCCAAUCCCGACACGGGGAGGUAGUGACAAUAAAUAACAAUACGGGGCUCUUUCGGGUCUCGUAAUUGGAAUGAGUACAAUUUAAAUCCCUUAACGAGGAACAAUUGGAGGGCAAGUCUGGUGCCAGCAGCCGCGGUAAUUCCAGCUCCAACAGCGUAUAUUAAAGUUGUUGCAGUUAAAAAGCUCGUAGUUGAAUUUCGGGAUUGACACAUCGGUCGUGCCUUAAGGGGUAUGAACUGGUGUAGUCAAUUUCUCACCUUCUGGAGAACCGCGAUGCCCUUAAUUGGGUGUCACGGGGAACCAGGACCUUUACUUUGAAAAAAUUAGAGUGUUUAAAGCAGGCAUUUUGCUUGAAUACAUUAGCAUGGAAUAAUAAAAUAGGACGGCAUGAUUCUAUUUUGUUGGUUUCUAGGAUCACCGUAAUGAUUAAUAGGGAUAGUUGGGGGCAUUAGUAUUCAAUUGUCAGAGGUGAAAUUCUUGGAUUUAUUGAAGACUAACUACUGCGAAAGCAUUUGCCAAGGAUGUUUUCAUUAAUCAAGAACGAAAGUUAGGGGAUCGAAGACGAUCAGAUACCGUCGUAGUCUUAACCAUAAACUAUGCCGACUAGGAAUCAGACGAUGUUAAUUUUUUAAUGACUCGUUUGGCACCUUACGGGAAACCAAAGUGUUUGGGUUC